rnacentral:rRNA from 2 species
GGGGGAAACAGUUAUGCUGAGAAGUCUGACGGAGCACGCCGCGUGAGUGAUGAAGGUUUUCGGAUCGUAAAGCUCUGUUGUUAGGGAAGAACAAGUGCCGUUCAAAUAGGGCGGCACCUUGACGGUACCUAACCAGAAAGCCACGGCUAACUACGUGCCAGCAGCCGCGGUAAUACGUAGGUGGCAAGCGUUGUCCGGAAUUAUUGGGCGUAAAGGGCUCGCAGGCGGUUUCUUAAGUCUGAUGUGAAAGCCCCCGGCUCAACCGGGGAGGGUCAUUGGAAACUGGGGAACUUGAGUGCAGAAGAGGAGAGUGGAAUUCCACGUGUAGCGGUGAAAUGCGUAGAGAUGUGGAGGAACACCAGUGGCGAAGGCGACUCUCUGGUCUGUAACUGACGCUGAGGAGCGAAAGCGUGGGGAGCGAACAGGAUUAGAUACCCCGGUAGUCAAUU